GUGCUCACUUCGGCAGUACAUAUACUAAAAUGGGAACACUAUACACAGAAG
rnacentral:snRNA from 1 species